GUAUGUAUAAUAUAUAAAAGAAAUUGAUUGUUUUUGUUUGUGUACGAUGAUAAUCUAAAUAUAACCCAAAACUUUUCAUUAUUUGCAAUUUAACUAACUACUUUUUGAUUGUCAACUUUGUUCUCCUAUACUUUUCAUCUUUCGUAAAUUUUCGUUUUACAUUUUGUUCUGAAUUUUGAGAGUUAAAUCAGCGCAAGGUGCAUGUUGUUGUGGUCGCUGGCGGUAGCAUGGCAUUGCUGCUAUUUGCCACAGUUUUACGCCCCUACCGCAACGUGGGGGUUUAAUUCUAGUAGCUACUUAUUUGCUAAAUAACCACCGUAUUAAUAAGUGAAAUGAUAACCCUAUUUACAAACAUGUAUGUACAAUGAAUGGCAAGGUUUCAUAAUUUAUUAGAUUAGUGGUCUAGAUAUAAUUAGUUUAUAAUAGAGGGUAUUAAAAUGUAAUUUAGUCAUCUAUAUCAACUAUUGUAAUCCGGAAUUAUAAUUGAAUAAUACAAUUUUAUGACUUGAU
rnacentral:lncRNA from 1 species